GAUGAACGCUGGCGGCGUGCCUAAUACAUGCAAGUCGAGCGAACAGAUGAGGAGCUUGCUCCUCUGACGUUAGCGGCGGACGGGUGAGUAACACGUGGAUAACCUACCUAUAAGACUGGGAUAACUUCGGGAAACCGGAGCUAAUACCGGAUAAUAUAUUGAACCGCAUGGUUCAAUAGUGAAAGACGGUUUUGCUGUCACUUAUAGAUGGAUCCGCGCCGCAUUAGCUAGUUGGUAAGGUAACGGCUUACCAAGGCAACGAUUCGUAGCCGACCUGAGAGGGUGAUCGGCCACACUGGAACUGAGACACGGUCCAGACUCCUACGGGAGGCAGCAGUAGGGAAUCUUCCGCAAUGGGCGAAAGCCUGACGGAGCAACGCCGCGUGAGUGAUGAAGGUCUUCGGAUCGUAAAACUCUGUUAUUAGGGAAGAAAAAAUGUGUAAGUAACUAUGCACGUCUUGACGGUACCUAAUCAGAAAGCCACGGCUAACUACGUG
rnacentral:rRNA from 1 species